UGAUGAUUCAAUAAUAACUUUUCGAAUCGCAUGGCCUUUGUGCUGGCGAUGGGUUCAUUCAAAUUUCUGCCCUAUCAACUUUCGAUGGUAGGAUAGUGGCCUACCAUGGUUUCAACGGGUAACGGGGAAUAAGGGUUCGAUUCCGGAGAGGGAGCCUGAGAAACGGCUACCACAUCCAAGGAAGGCAGCAGGCGCGCAAAUUACCCAAUCCCGACACGGGGAGGUAGUGACAAUAAAUAACGAUACAGGGCCCUUUCGGGUCUUGUAAUUGGAAUGAGUACAAUGUAAAUACCUUAACGAGGAACAAUUGGAGGGCAAGUCUGGUGCCAGCAGCCGCGGUAAUUCCAGCUCCAAAAGCGUAUAUUAAAGUUGUUGCAGUUAAAAAGCUCGUAGUUGAACCUUGGGCUUGGUUGGCCGGUCCAUCUUUCUGAUGCGUACUGGACCCAACCGAGCCUUUCCUUCUGGCUAGCCUUUUGGCGAACCAGGACUUUUACUUUGAAAAAAUUAGAGUGUUCAAAGCAGGCCUUUGCUCGAAUAUAUUAGCAUGGAAUAAUAGAAUAGGACGUUAUGGUUCUAUUUUGUUGGUUUCUAGGACCAUCGUAAUGAUUAAUAGGGACGGUCGGGGGUAUCAGUAUUCAGUUGUCAGAGGUGAAAUUCUUGGAUUUACUGAAGACUAACUACUGCGAAAGCAUUUACCAAGGACGUUUUCAUUAAUCAAGAACGAAAGUUAGGGGAUCGAAGAUGAUCAGAUACCGUCGUAGUCUUAACCAUAAACUAUGCCGACUAGGGAUCGGUUGUUGCCUCUUUUAUUGACGCAAUCGGCACCUUACGAGAAAUCAAA
rnacentral:rRNA from 1 species